UACAGAGGGUGCGAGCGUUAAUCGGAAUUACUGGGCGUAAAGGGCGCGUAGGCGGCUCUUUAAGUCGUAUGUGAAAGCCCUGGGCUUAACCUGGGAAUGGCAUACGAAACUGGGGAGCUAGAGUAGAGUAGAGGAAAGUGGAAUUUCCGGUGUAGCGGUGAAAUGCGUAGAUAUCGGAAGGAACAUCCGUGGCGAAGGCGGCUUUCUGGACUCAUACUGACGCUGAGGCGCGAAAGCGUGGGGAGCAAACAGG
rnacentral:rRNA from 1 species